rnacentral:lncRNA from 1 species
GUUGUGUUCAGCCACUGCUGAUGCCAACCUUCAGCUGAAUGAGGGGGAACUCACAGUGCAUCUUUGAUCUCCCAGUCAGAAGUUUCAGUGACUUGCUUGAGGGCCCAAACUGAGGUGCAUGUGAAGGAAGUCCAGAUGUGCAGGUGAGGCCUGAGCUGGAGCCGUGCUGCUGGAGCUGUGCUGGAGCCGUGCUGCUGGAGCCCCUGCAGCCUCUGCCAGGGGAUGAGGAGGGCUUCCGUGAUGCCAUCCUUCAGUAGUUUCUGUUUAAAAGGAAAAAUAAAAUCUCAUCUGCUCUG